UACAUAGGGUGCAAGCGUUGUCCGGAAUUAUUGGGCGUAAAGAGCUCGUAGGCGGUCUGUCGCGUCGAAUGUGAAAACCCGGGACUCAACUCCGGGCCUGCAUUCGAUACGGGCAGACUAGAGUUCGGUAGGGGAGACUGGAAUUCCUGGUGUAGCGGUGAAAUGCGCAGAUAUCAGGAGGAACACCGGUGGCGAAGGCGGGUCUCUGGGCCGAUACUGACGCUGAGGAGCGAAAGCGUGGGGAGCAAACAGG
rnacentral:rRNA from 1 species